GGGGGGGGGGGGGGCGAAUGGGGGCGAAUGGUGGCGAAAUGGGUGGAAAAGGAUCCAAAAAAUGGUGGAAAAUGAUGGAAAAUGAUCCAAAUUGAUCCAAAAAUGGUGGGGAAAAUGGAGGAAAGUGAUGAAAAAUGGUGGAAAAUGAUGCAAAAUGAUCCAAAAUGGAGGAAAAUGAUCCAAAAUGAUCCAAAAAUGGUGGAAAAUAAUCCAAAAUGAUGCAAAUUGAUCCAAAAAUGGUGGCAAAAACGGAGGAAAAUGAUCAAAAAUGGAGGAAAAUGAUCCAAAAAAUGGUGGAAAAUGAUCAAAAAUGGAGGAAAAUGAUGGAAAAUGAUCCAAAUUGAUCCAAAAAUGGUGGCAAAAAUGGAGGAAAGUGAUGAAAAAUGGAGAAAAAUGAUCCAAAAUGAUUUAAAAAAUGGAGGAAAAUGAUCCAAAAAUGGAGGGAAAUGAUCAAAAAUGGAGGAAAAUGAUCCAAAUUGAUCCAAAAAUGGUGGCAAAAAUGGAGGAAAUGAUCUAAAAUGGAGGAAAAUGAUCCAAAAUGAUCCAAAUUGAUCCAAAAAUGGUGGGGAAAAUGGAGGAAAGUGAUGAAAAAUGGUGGAAAAUGAUCCAAAAUGAUGAAAAGUGGAGGAAAAAUUGGUAGAAAAUGAUCCAAAAUGAUCCAAAAUGGAGGAAAAUGAUCCAAAAAUGAUCGAAAAUGGUGGAAAAUGAUCCAAAUUGAUCAAAAAUGGGGGGAAAUGGUCCAAAAUGAUCCAAAUUGAUCCAAAAAUGGUGGGGAAAAUGGAGGAAAGUGAUGAAAAAUGGAGAAAAAUGAUCCAAAAUGAUGAAAAGUGGAGGAAAAAUUGGUGGAAAAUGAUCCAAAAUGAUCCAAAAUGGAGGAAAAUGAUCCAAAAAUGAUCGAAAAUGGUGGAAAAUGAUCCAAAUUGAUCAAAAAUGGGGGGAAAUGGUCCAAAAUGGUCCAAAUUGAUCCAAAAAUGGUGGGGAAAAUGGAGGAAAGUGAUGAAAAAUGGUGGAAAAUGAUCCAAAAUGAUGAAAAGUGGAGGAAAAAUUGGUGGAAAAUGAUCCAAAAUGAUCCAAAAUGGAGGGAAAUGAUCCAAAAAUGAUCGAAAAUGGUGGAAAAUGAUCCAAAUUGAUCAAAAAUGGGGGGAAAUGGUCCAAAAUGAUCCAAAUUGAUCCAAAAAUGGUGGCAAAAAUGGAGGAAAAUGAUCUAAAAUUGAGGAAAAUGAUCUAAAAUGGAGGAAAUGAUCCAAAAAUGGUGGGGAAAAUGGAGGAAAGUGAUGAAAAAUGGAGAAAAAUGAUCCAAAAUGAUUAAAAAAAUGGAGGAAAAUGAUCCAAAAAUGGUGGGAAAUGAUGAAAAAUGAUCCAAAUUAAUCAAAAAUUGGGGAAAAUGGUCCAAAAAUGGUGGCAAAAAUGGAGGAAAAUGAUCAAAAAUGGAGGAAAAUGAUCCAAAAUGAUCCAAAUUGAUCCAAAAAUGGUGGCAAAAAUGGAGGAAAAUGAUCUAAAAUGGAGGAAAAUGAUAAAAAAUGGAGGAAAAUUACCCAAAAUGAUCCAAAAAUGGAGGAAAAAAUGGAGGAAAAUGAUCAAAAUUGAUCAAAAAUGGGGGAAAAUGGUCCAAAAUGAUCACAAAAUGGAGGAAAAUGAUCAAAAAUGGAGGAAAAUGAUCCAAAAUGAUCCAAAAUGGAGGGAAAUUAUCCAAAAAUGGGGGAAAAUAAUGAAAAAUGAUCCAAAUUGAUGAAAAAUGGUGGAAAAUGAUCCAAAAUGAUCACAAAAUGGAGGAAAAUGAUCCAAAAUGAUCCAAAUUGAUCCAAAAAUGCGAUGAAAAAUGGAGGAAAAUGAUAAAAAAUGGAGGAAAAUUACCCAAAAUGAUCCAAAAAUGGAGGAAAAAAUGGAGGAAAAUGAUCAAAAUUGAUCAAAAAUGGGGGAAAAUGGUCCAAAAUGAUCACAAAAUGGAGGAAAAUUACCCCAAAUGAUCCAAAAAUGGUGAAAAAUGGUGGAAAAUGAUCAAAAAUGAUCCAAAAUGGAGGAAAAUGAUCCAAAAUGAUCACAAAAUGGAGGAAAAUUAUCAAAAAUGAUCAAAAAAUGGUGAAAAAUGGUGGAAAAUGAUCAAAAAUGAUCCAAAAUGGAGGAAAAUGGUCCAAAAUGAUCACAAAAUGGAGGAAAAUUACCCCAAAUGAUCCAAAAAUGGAGGAAAAAAUGGAGGAAAAUGAUCAAAAUUGAUCAAAAAUGGGGGAAAAUGGUCCAAAAUGAUCACAAAAUGGAGGAAAAUUACCCCAAAUGAUCCAAAAAUGGAGGAAAAAAUGGAGGAAAAUGAUCAAAAUUGAUCAAAAAUGGGGGAAAAUGGUCCAAAAUGAUCACAAAAUGGAGGAAAAUUACCCCAAAUGAUCCAAAAAUGGUGAAAAAUGGUGGAAAAUGAUCAAAAAUGAUCCAAAAUGGAGGAAAAUGAUCCAAAAUGAUCACAAAAUGGAGGAAAAUUAUCAAAAAUGAUCAAAAAAUGGUGAAAAAUGGAGGAAAAUGAUCAAAAAUGAUCAUAAAUGAUGGAAAAAUGGAAUAAAAAUUGACGGAAAAUGGUGAAAAAUGAGGAAAAAUGGUUGAAAAAAGGACCAAAAAAUGGGAAAAUGAGGGAAAAAUGGGGAAAAAUUUGAAUAAAAAUGAGGAAAAUUUGAAUGAAAAAUGGGGGAAAAAUGGGGAAAAUGGGAAAAAAAUGAGAAAAAAAUGAGAAAAAAUGGGGAAAAAAUGAAUAAAAAUGAGGAAAAUGAGGAAAAAAAUGAAUAAAAAUGAGGGAAAAUGAGGGAAAAAUGGGUCAAAAAAUGAGGAAAAAAAGAAUAAUAAAUGGUUCAAAAAUUAGGAAAAAUUGAAUAAAAAUGAGGAAAAAUUGAAUGAAAAUUGGGAAAAAAUCGGGAAAAAAUUGGGAAAAAUGAGUAAAAAAUGUGAAAAAAAUGAGAGAAAAUGAGGAAAAAAUGAGUAAAAAUGAGGGAAAGUGAGGAAAAAUGGGUGAAAAAAUGAGGAAAAAAUUGACUGAAAAAUGGUUCAAAAAUGGGG
ensembl:lncRNA